AUUGAGAUUAGAGGUCGCAUCAAUCAUGAGUCGCAGCUGCAAUGGUCUGAACACCAAGCGCGCAGUUGUUAAAGGGAAAGGUGCCGAAAUACCGGUUGAGUUCAGCCAAUCGAUAUUGGGCCAGUUGGAUAACAUCCACUGGACUGUCGCGAUUAUCGCGGGGCGCUAACAAAUCG
rnacentral:ncRNA from 1 species